ACAAGAAGGGGACCCUCCAGCUCCAGGCUGGAUGAGCAGACACUCAGGGAACAACCAGACCUUUGUUUACCAUCAAUGCAGAUGUCAUAAGGACCAGGAACCCGCAUUCGCCAAGGACCGACCCGUGCCUAUCAGGGACCGCACUCUCCGCACACUGGGAAGUUUAUUCCUACAUAAAUAUAUUCGUAUUAACAGGCACAUUCUAUCUAAGAAGGACGUUUGAAAUAAUUCCAUCCGAGCCAGCACAAACCCCAGCAGGGUGGGAUGCGGGCGACCAGGGCGGGAUGCGGGUGGACCUCUCCGUGAAAGAGGCUGAAGCCACAGCGAGAAACAGAACAAACAAACAACGUCUGAAUACCUGAGAUUAGAAGGCAGACUCUGAAUUGAUCACAAAUCCUUCUGGUUUUAAAUGGUGAAAGGAAAACACCCAGAGAGGAAACACCCAGAGAAGAAACCAAUUUAUUUCACCCAGAAGACUGUGGACUGAGGAAGCUUUGGCAGUAUUCACAUUCCCCAGAAGACGGAUUCUGAAUGGAAAAGGCAAUGGAGCAAAGAUCAGUUUAUUUUUUCAUGAAUGCAGAUAAAACAUUCCUUACGAACUGCACAAGGAGGUCUCACUCUGCACUGUAGGGUCAGGCAACUGGCAUCAGAAUUAGAACAUGAGCUCAAGUUGGCCAAAAGCAGCCUGGGGUUAGGCUGGACUUGUUACAUGCUCUGGAAACUGCUGGGAACAGCAGGGGAAA